rnacentral:rRNA from 1 species
UACAGAGGGUGCGAGCGUUGUCCGGAAUCACUGGGCGUAAAGGGCGCGUAGGCGGCCCGGCAAGUCAAUGGUGAAAGCUCAGGCUCAACUCUGAGUCGGCCACUGAUACUGCGGGGCUCGAGUCUGGUAGAGGCAGAUGGAAUUCCGGGUGUAGCGGUGAAAUGCGCAGAUAUCAGGAAGAACACCCGUGGCUAAGGCGGCUCUCUAGUACGGUACUGACGCUGAGACGCGAAAGCGUGGGGAGCGAACAGG